rnacentral:rRNA from 1 species
UACGUAGGGGCCUAGCGUUGUCCGGAUUUAUUGGGCGUAAAGAGCUCGUAGGCGGUUCGGUAAGUCAGGUGUGAAAUCUCCACGCUCAACGUGGAGGCGCCACCUGAAACUGCCGUGACUCGAGUCCGGUAGGGGAGUGUGGAAUUCCCGGUGUAGCGGUGAAAUGCGUAGAUAUGCGGAGGAACACCGAUGGCGAAGGCAAUCCCCUGGGCCUGCACUGACGCUCAUGCACGAAAGCGUGGGGAGCAAACAGG